rnacentral:rRNA from 1 species
UACGUAGGGAGCAAGCGUUGUUCGGAUUUACUGGGCGUAAAGGGCGCGUAGGCGGCAGAUCAAGUCAGUUGUGAAAUCUCUGAGCUUAACUCAGAACUGUCAACUGAUACUGCUCUGCUAGAGUGCGGAAGGGGCAAUCGGAAUUCUUGGUGUAGCGGUGAAAUGCGUAGAGAUGUGGAGGAACACCGAUGGCGAAGGCAGCCUCCUGGGCCAGCACUGACGCUCAUGCACGAAAGCGUGGGGAGCAAACAGG